rnacentral:ncRNA from 2 species
CGAUCCCUUGCGGGAGAGGCUCCGGGGUGUUGCAGCGCUCACCGGCCGAUGCCGGAGGGUGGGGUUGCGGCGCCUCGGGGACGCCGAAGGAGCAAGUGCCUCCCCGCCAAACUCUCAGGCCGAAAAACCGCGAGGGGAAG